AUUGAACGCUGGCGGCAUGCCUUACACAUGCAAGUCGAACGGCAGCACGGGUGCUUGCACCUGGUGGCGAGUGGCGAACGGGUGAGUAAUACAUCGGAACGUACCUUAUCGCGGGGGAUAACGCAGCGAAAGCUGUGCUAAUACCGCAUACGCCCUGUGGGGGAAAGCGGGGGAUCGCAAGACCUAGCGCGAUUAGAGCGGCCGAUGCCUGAUUAGCUUGUUGGUGGGGUAAAAGCCCACCAAGGCGACGAUCAGUAGCUGGUCUGAGAGGACGAUCAGCCACACUGGGACUGAGACACGGCCCAGACUCCUACGGGAGGCAGCAGUGGGGAAUUUUGGACAAUGGGGGCAACCCUGAUCCAGCAAUGCCGCGUGAGUGAAGAAGGCCUUCGGGUUGUAAAGCUCUUUUGUCAGGGAAGAAACACCGGCUCUAACACAGUCCGGGAAUGACGGUACCUGAAGAAUAAGCACCGGCUAACUACGUGCCAGCCGCCGCCGUAA
rnacentral:rRNA from 1 species